UACGAAGGGGGCUAGCGUUGUUCGGAAUCACUGGGCGUAAAGGGCGCGUAGGCGGCCUGAUAAGUCGGGGGUGAAAGCCUGUGGCUCAACCACAGAAUUGCCUUCGAUACUGUUAGGCUUGAGACCGGAAGAGGUAAGUGGAACUGCGAGUGUAGAGGUGAAAUUCGUAGAUAUUCGCAAGAACACCAGUGGCGAAGGCGGCUCACUGGCCCGAUACUGACGCUGAGGUGCGAAAGCGUGGGGAGCGAACAGG
rnacentral:rRNA from 1 species